GACGAACGCUGGCGGCGUGCUUAAUACAUGCAAGUCGAACGGAAAGGCCCUGAUUGCAGGGUACUGGAGUGGCGAACGGGUGAGUAACACGUGGGUGAUCUGCCCUGCACUUCGGGAUAAGCCUGGGCAACAGGGUCUAAUACCGGAUAGGAACUAUAUUGAGCGGGAUGGUUGGAAAGUUUUUGUCGGUGUAGGGUGAGCUCGCGGCCUAUCAGCUUGUUGGUGGGGUAAUGGCCUACCAAGGCGGCGACGGGUAGCCGGCCUGAGAGGGUGGACGGCGACCUUGGGUCUGAGAGGCGGCCCCAGCUCCUACGGUGGGCCGCUGUGGGGAAUCUUGCAGGAUGGGCGCCAGCCUGAUGCAGCGACGCCGCGUGGGGGAUGACGGCCUUCGGGUUGAAAACCCCUUUCGCUAGGGACGAAGCUUUUUGUGACGGUACCUAGAUAAGAAGCCCCGGCUAACUACGUG
rnacentral:rRNA from 1 species